rnacentral:sRNA from 1 species
GUCACAAGAACGUCAGUCAAAAUCAUAAUGCAGCCCAAUUUCCGUCAAGCAACCGCCCUGCUGGAUUGCGAGAAAACAGUCACUGCGAUGGCCCGGUCCUUUCGGUGCCGGAUCCUCAGCCCCCAGCCCCCCGGGGCCAUCAGGAUCGGGCCUAUUCGCGGGGAACUAAAACUCCAAGACCGCUCGGGACCGGCGAAAGCUGGUCCUUUU